rnacentral:rRNA from 1 species
UACACUCCUACGGGAGGCAGCAGUGGGGAAUUUUGGACAAUGGGCGAAAGCCUGAUCCAGCAAUGCCGCGUGUGUGAAGAAGGCCUUCGGGUUGUAAAGCACUUUUGUCCGGAAAGAAAUCCUUGGCUCUAAUACAGUCGAGGGAUGACGGUACCGGAAGAAUAAGCACCGGCUAACUACGUGCCAGCAGCCGCGGUAAUACGUAGGGUGCGAGCGUUAAUCGGAAUUACUGGGCGUAAAGCGUGCGCAGGCGGUUUGCUAAGACCGAUGUGAAAUCCCCGGGCUCAACCUGGGAACUGCAUUGGUGACUGGCAGGCUAGAGUAUGGCAGAGGGGGGUAGAAUUCCACGUGUAGCAGUGAAAUGCGUAGAGAUGUGGAGGAAUACCGAUGGCGAAGGCAGCCCCCUGGGCCAAUACUGACGCUCAUGCACGAAAGCGUGGGGAGCAAACAGGAUUAGAUACCCGUGUAGUCCCAUGA